AGAGGGUGCAAGCGUUAAUCGGAAUUACUGGGCGUAAAGAGCACGUAGGUGGAAAGACAAGUCAGCUGUGAAAGCCCUGGGGCUUAACCGAGGAAAGCCAGCUGAGACUGUUUAUCUAGAGUACAGGAGAGGGAAGUGGAAUUUCCGGAGUAGCGGUGAAAUGCGUAGAUACCGGAAGGAACACCAGUGGCGAAGGCGGCUUCCUGGCCUGAUACUGACACUGAGGUGCGAAAGCGUGGGUAGCAAACAGGAUUAGAUACCCUGGUAGUCCACGCUGUAAACGAUGAGAACUAGCUGAUGGUCCGAUAGGAUCAGUAGCGGAGCUAACGCAUUAAGUUCUCCGCCUGGGGAGUACGACCGCAAGGUUA
rnacentral:rRNA from 1 species